rnacentral:rRNA from 1 species
UACGUAGGGUGCGAGCGUUGCCCGGAUUUAUUGGGCGUAAAGGGCGCGUAGGCGGCCUGGCGCGUCGGCUGUGAAAUCUCCCGGCUCAACUGGGAGGGGACGGCCGAUACGGCUGGGCUUGAGCGAGGUAGGGGAGAGUGGAAUUCCCGGUGUAGUGGUGGAAUGCGUAGAGAUCAUGAGGAAGACCAGUGGCGAAGGCGGGUCUCUGGACAGUUCCUGACACUGAGACACGAAGGCUAGGGGAGCAAACGGG